rnacentral:rRNA from 1 species
CCUACGGGAGGCAGCAGUAAGGAAUAUUGGUCAAUGGGCGAAGCCUGAACCAGCCAUGCCGCGUGGAGGAUGAAGGUCCUCCGGAUUGUAAACUUCUUUUAUCUGGGACGAAAAAAGAUUUUUCUAAAUCGUCUGACGGUACCAGAUGAAUAAGCACCGGCUAACUCCGUGCCAGCAGCCGCGUUAAUACGGAGGGUGCAAGCGUUAUCCGGAUUCACUGGGUUUAAAGGGUGCGUAGGCGGCAGUUAAGUCAGUGGUGAAAUCUCCGGGCUUAACCCGGAAACUGCCAUUGAUACUAUCUGUCUUGAAUAUCCUGGAGGUAAGCGGAAUAUGUCAUGUAGCGGUGAAAUGCUUAGAUAUGACAUAGAACACCCAUUGCGAAGGCAGCUUACUACGGGAUGAUUGACGCUGAGGCACGAAAGCGUGGGGAUCAAACAGGAUUAGAUACCCUGGUAGUCCACGCCCUAAACGAUGGAUACUCGACAUUUGCGAUACACUGUAAGUGUCUGAGCGAAAGCAUUAAGUAUCCCACCUGGGAAGUACGACCGCAAGGUUGAAACUCAAAGGAAUUGACGG